GGGUUGUGAGGUUAAGUGACUAAGCGUACACGGUGGAUGCCUAGGCAGUCAGAGGCG
rnacentral:rRNA from 3 species